rnacentral:rRNA from 1 species
GAUCCUGGCUCAGAUUGAACGCUGGCGGCAGGCUUAACACAUGCAAGUCGAACGGUAACAUGAAGAAGCUUGCUUCUUUGAUGACGAGUGGCGGACGGGUGAGUAAUGCUUGGGGAUCUAGCUUAUGGAGGGGGAUAACUACGGGAAACUGUAGCUAAUACCGCGUAGAAUCGAGAGAUAAAAGUGUGGGACCUUCGGGCCACAUGCCAUAGGAUGAGCCCAAGUGGGAUUAGGUAGUUGG